rnacentral:rRNA from 1 species
UACGUAGGGGGCAAGCGUUGUCCGGAUUUAUUGGGCGUAAAGAGCGUGUAGGCGGCCUGAAAGGUCAGCUGUGAAAACUCGAGGCUCAACCUCGAGACGUCGGUUGAAACCAUCUGGCUAGAGUCCGGAAGAGGAGUGUGGAAUUCCCGGUGUAGCGGUGAAAUGCGCAGAUAUCGGGAAGAACACCCGUGCGAAGGCGGCACUCUGGGACGGUACUGCCGCUGAGACGCGAAAGCGUGGGGAGCGAACAGG